rnacentral:rRNA from 1 species
UACGAAAGGUGCUAGCGUUGUUCGGAAUACUGGGCGUAAAGCGAGUGUAGGUGGUCUUCUCAGCCAGGGGUGAAAUCCCGCAGCUUAACUGCGGAAUUGCCUUUGGUACUGGAGGGCUAGAGUCUGUCAGAGGAUAGUGGAAUUCCAGUGUAGCGGUGAAAUGCGUAGAUAUUGGAAGGAACACCAGUGGCGAAGGCGACUAUCUGGGACAGUACUGACACUAAAACUCGAAAGCGUGGGUAGCAAACAGG